GAUGAACGCUGGCGGCGUGCCUAAUACAUGCAAGUCGAGCGAACGGACGAGAAGCUUGCUUCUCUGAUGUUAGCGGCGGACGGGUGAGUAACACGUGGAUAACCUACCUAUAAGACUGGGAUAACUUCGGGAAACCGGAGCUAAUACCGGAUAAUAUUUUGAACCGCAUGGUUCAAAAGUGAAAGACGGUCUUGCUGUCACUUAUAGAUGGAUCCGCGCUGCAUUAGCUAGUUGGUAAGGUAACGGCUUACCAAGGCAACGAUGCAUAGCCGACCUGAGAGGGUGAUCGGACACACUGGAACUGAGACACGGUCCAGACUCCUACGGGAGGCAGCAGUAGGGAAUCUUCCGCGAAGGGCGAAAGCCUGACGGAGCAACGCCGCGUGAGUGAUGAAGGUCUUCGGAUCGUAAAACUCUGUUAUUAGGGAAGAACAUAUGUGUAAGUAACUGUGCACAUCUUGACGGUACCUAAUCAGAAAGCCACGGCUAACUACGUG
rnacentral:rRNA from 1 species